AGACGACAGAGUUUAUUCCGUUGAAAAGUUCUCGACUGUUCUUUCCCCCCGGCCCGAAGGAUGUCUCGGCAAAGUGGGAAGAUCCGAGUGUGGCUUUCAGGCCGGGUUUUCCUCGAAGUCCCACAAAUUUCGUUUAUGCGCCGAAUCGGGGAGGUUUGAGAUUAUACGAAAACUAAAAUUAGCAGCCAACCAAACGCAUCUCUGACGAUGAACGUUCUGCAUUCUGGAGGAAACUAGAAAUCAGUUUACCCAGGUAAACGGUGCUGCUGGGGUAUGAAAUUAUUAGAGUAUCCGGUGAAUAUUUUAUAGGGAAAUCGAUUUUGCAUUAUCUUUUCUAUAGCGUAACUGCAUAUGGUAUACUUAUAAUUCCCAGAUAAAAUUUACGUCACGAGCAAGUGGAUUUUAACAAGAGGUUAUGGGAUAUUUAAAAAUUCAAAAUUUGACUUUGAUAAUUAAUGAAAGUCUGCCGUCUUAGAAGAGAACCUACGGAGGCACUGACUAAGGGAGAUAUCCAAUAAAAUAUAUCUGCCUCGUCCGGAUGUUUUGAUACCUGCCAAGACUAACUGGAUAUAAAUUGAUUUUGCCCGGAGGCGU